UUUUGCCUGGUCAAGAAAUACUGCAAAGGAGUGAAAGAAUGACUGUGGGCCUGAGGUUGGUGGUAGACUUACGAAGGAGCAAGGACAGAGGCAGGAGAGAGCUGGAAGACUACGCUAAUCCACAUGAGAGAGAAGGUGCAUUAGACCAGGAUAGCAGCAGCAGCAGAGCGAAGAGAGCUUGUCUGACAACAGCAACGACUGCAAAUAUCCUUAUUUGA
rnacentral:lncRNA from 1 species